UACGUAGGUGGCAAGCGUUGUCCGGAAUUAUUGGGCGUAAAGCGCGCAGGCGGUCCUUUAAGUCUGAUGUGAAAGCCCACGGCUCAACCGUGGAGGGUCAUUGGAAACUGGGGGACUUGAGUGCAGAAGAGGAGAGUGGAAUUCCACGUGUAGCGGUGAAAUGCGUAGAGAUGUGGAGGAACACCAGUGGCGAAGGCGACUCUUUGGUCUGUAACUGACGCUGAGGCGCGAAAGCGUGGGGAGCAAACAGG
rnacentral:rRNA from 1 species